GUUGGCUCAGUGGGUAAGAGCACUGACUGUUCUUCCAGAGGUCCUGAGUUCAAUUCUCAAGCAACA
rnacentral:tRNA from 1 species